rnacentral:siRNA from 1 species
AGGCCCUGAAUGGUGACUCAAAAG